UCCACGCCGUAAACGAUGAUCACUCGAUGUUGGCGAUAGACAGUCAGCGUCCAAGCGAAAGUAUUAAGUGAUCCACCUGGGGAGUACGAUCGCAAGGUUGAAACUCAAAGGAAUUGACGGGGGCCCGCACAAGCGGAGGAGCAUGUGGUUUAAUUCGAUGAUACGCGAGGAACCUUACCUAGACUUAAAUGUAGAUUGCAUGACUUAGAAAUAGGUCUUUCCUUCGGGACUAU
rnacentral:rRNA from 1 species